GAUUCAAAGCAAGAAAACGGAUGCGCGUGCUAACGCUUUCGCGCUAGUGCGCUCAAUCCGUUGCUUGUUUGGAACA
rnacentral:pre_miRNA from 1 species